GAGGGUGUAGCUCAGUGGUAGAGCGUGUGUUUAGCAUGUGGGAGAUCCUGGGUUCAAUCCCCAGGAUCUCCA
rnacentral:tRNA from 1 species